GAAGCGCGCCAGACCGCCGCUGGUGCAAUCUGGGAAACCAGGCACUGGAGGAACGUCCGGACUGCACAGGACAGCGUAGCAGCUAACGGCUGCCCACCGUGAGGUGAGGAUCAGAGCAACAGAGACGAGUCGAAGCAGGCUGCAAGCCACGGAGGGUGUUUCACCCGAAGCGGGCGGCGCCCGCUUCGGGUGAAACGGGCAAUCUCUACGCGCAGCAAUACCAAGUAGGCCAACGUUGAUGUGGUUCCGCAGAGUUGGCGGGUAGGUAGCACCGAGCCGUGGUGGCGACACCCGGCCCAGAGUAAUGGCGGUCACGCCCGGCCUUCGCAAGGAGGUUCGGGUGCACAGAAUCCGGCUUAUCGGCGCGCUUCACAC
rnacentral:RNase_P_RNA from 1 species